AGGCCCGGCCACGGCCAGGACACGCGCUGCGACUGCGACCUUAGGAGCUGGUCCUGUGCUCGCCGGCGGCGUCCGCCUUGUGGUCUGCUUCCUCAGCUGAGCUCUUGUGGUAGCCGGGUAUCUUGUCCAUGAUCUUGCCCAGCAAGCCCUUCUUCUCCUUGCCAUCCGGGCUGCUCACGUUCUCCGCCUGCGGCGCCGGCGCCGGCGCGUGGACGGGCGGAGCCGGUGCGGCAGCGGCAGCGGCUUCAGGCUUCUUGUUGUGGCCACCGGGGAGCUUCUCCUUGAUCUUGUCCAGCAGGCCUUUCUUCUCCUCCUCCGGUGCAUGCGGCGGGGUCCCGGUCUUCACGUCGUCCUGGACGACGACGCCGUGGUCGUGCUGGUGGACGUGCGGUGGAGGCGGCGGGGCCGGGGUCGGGACGACGUGC
rnacentral:lncRNA from 1 species